rnacentral:ncRNA from 12 species
GGGUGUCACGCUGCAUUCCGCAGACGACAGGACUAACGUUGGUCGGGCCGCCAACG